GGAUUCUUUUGCAAUCUAGAGCACUCAGGACAUGUAUUUAAACUUACACAGCAUUAGCCAUGUUGGGGCCUGAACUUCAAGCAGACAAACUUAAGCCUCUUGAGUAUAACCAUGAAACUAUAGCUCUCCACCACCAUGCAUUAGGUCAUCUCUGUUUAAGUGUCAGUGGAGAUCUGCUGAAUCCAAUUGUCUACUUCUGAGACAGCUUCCUUAAAAUAGAGAUCAGCACUGCUGUCUUCUCCUUGGGUCCUUCUUCCAUGCUGGAACAAUCAGAGAAAAAUUGCUAGGGGGAGGUUCUGCAGCUGUCUGGAGUGGUGGGGGUUUUUAGGGUUUGUUGUUUUUUUUUUUUUUUUCAUAAUAUGACAAUGUAUAUGUUCAGAGCGAUGAAUGAAUGGAUGGAGCAGGGUGUGGGGAUUCAGCUUAUACUGAAAUCUGUGUCUGGGAGAGAAAGGCGGAGUGGUAAAAUGAUGCAGAGCUGGCCAUAAAGCUCAGAGGUAUUAUUCUCAGCCCCGUGCUGUAUCACAUAUGAGGAAACGAGUUGUUUUUUAGUUCUAAUGUUAGCUGACAUGUUUAAGAAACUAUUCCAUAAAUGCAACAAAAUAAGCAUUUGCAUGCUGUGUGCAUACCACAGCUUUAUUUCAUUUAUUAGCGUAAAGUUUUCUCCAGAACAUCACCUUGAAUUUUAAACAUACACUUUAUAUGUGUCUUCCUUUGUUACAAAAAAUGCUGAGGCCACAGAGUAGCCUGAAAGAAGUGGAAAAGCAAGCUCUGUUAGAGAAAUACAAGGAAAAAUGCCACAUGAGGUGUUUCUACACACUGAGAAGAUUGCCCUGAACUUUCUCCCCUCCAUGCCAAACUGUUCCAGUAUGUAAACAAGUAGCAGUCUUCAACAUUGUUGAAAAUAAUGGGAAUGAUGCAUUUUCAUUUCAAGGUCAGUCUGUCAGAACACGUUAGCACCCUCUCACUGUGCUUAGGGAAAGGCCUGUCCCGUACAUCACGUAUCCCCGUCAAAUGCCUACUACAACAAGUGCUUUAGCAGGGAAGUUGGACUCCAUGAUCUCCUGAGGUCCCUUCCAACCCCUGUGAUGCUGUGAUUUUGUGAUUCUAACAGAAGAUCACCUCUUAUUUGUUAUCAUUUGCAGAAGGAAAUAGCUUUGUUACGACCAAUAUGAGGCACAUUAUGUCUUGCUCACCCUCUCUUACCCAUUUUCUCAUAGAAAGUGGAAGACAUCUGGAGCUUACCUUUGUAGAAUCACUCAGCAUUCAUGACUGCAUCCAGAAGUUUGACUUACAGCACUGAACUUGGAGCAACAAAGUGGUGCAGAAGGCUGAAUCUGGGGUGGAAGUGCCACAGCCCAUGGCCCAUCAGAAUGGAUGCCCUGUUCUCCUGGGUCCUUCUUGUGGGUCUGAGUAGGCUGGGGCUAAGUGAUGUAUGAGUGUAUGCUGUGUGUCAUAUAAUAGAAUUUUCAAAAAUACAGGUCACUGUUCAGCCACUAAACUCAUUCUGAUUAGUAAAUAAAUUCUAGUUUAUAUUCCUC
ensembl:lncRNA